rnacentral:rRNA from 1 species
UACGGGGGGGGCAAGCGUUGUUCGGAAUUACUGGGCGUAAAGGGCUCGUAGGCGGCCAACUAAGUCGGAUGUGAAAUCCCCAGGCUCAACCUGGGAACUGCAUCCGAUACUGGAUGGCUUGAAUCCGGGAGAGGGAUGCAGAAUUCCAGGUGUAGCGGUGAAAUGCGUAGAUAUCAGGAGGAACACCGGUGGCGAAGGCGGGUCUCUGGGCCGAUACUGACGCUGAGGUGCGAAAGCGUGGGGAGCAAACAGG